AGAAAAGGGCACUCGAAGUUUAAGCGUCCACCGUGGGAUCCUUUUGUGGGUCCUCGUGUGCGCCUGAGCAAAUAAUAGUAAAGCAUCACUCAUAUAUCCCAAUUGUCAAGGAAGAUUGUACACUAGUACAAUCUAAGGAAAUUUCAUGAAAUCGAACCUCAAUUACUCGGAAAUCGAGGUUCAAUUAGAGUUUCUUAAAGUACAAGAGCGAUCGAGUUUUCAUUUUGGAAAAUCAGGUGUAACAUGUUCAAGUAAUAUCGAAGGAAUAAGGAGUGCUUGAAAACUCCCUUCCUUUGGAAUUCGGAAAAUUUUCAGUUUUGAUACGAUAUUUUGAAAAAUCGUAUCUCACAUUCUACAUGUAAAAAAUUGGAAUACUUGGUACCGUUGGAAACCUCUUUGAAAGUACUAAGAGUUCUUAGAAGACACUUUUCCAUGAAUCUAAGUGGAAGAUAUUCAAAAAUGGGCUUAAAGUUGCUGUUCCAGAACACUCAGAAUUGAGCCGGGGUUGGUUUUUCGCUAACUUUGGAAAUUCGGCAAAAUUCACACGUUGCGAGCUAGCCUAUGAAAUUUGUAACUAAAUUAGAGUUUCAAGUAAGGUUUAUAACAGAAAAACCAAAUCAAGGAUCGGAGUUUCGAGCACCGAGAUACGGUAGCUCGAAGUUUGGGAAAAAUUCAAAACUGGUGAACAAAUUUGCGGAUUUGAGCUUCCAACUUUGGGACUUUAGUUAGGUAUCGAAAUGGACUUGGAUUGGUACAAAAUUCAGCAGUAUAAUACUCCUAUAUAAAGAGUAUCCCUCUAUCAAAUUUCAUGGAAAAAUACCUUCGGGAAGGUAGUCAAUCAAACACCCUAAGUUUCGAAAAUACUAAGACAAAACUGCCUUGAACCUUUUGUUUUCCAUUUCAAACAUUUGGUCAAGGAAAAAUUCCUCAAAAAUGGCUCAUUAGUGUAGGCAAAGCCUAAGGAAUAAUCAUGGUACAUUUGGUAAGUGUUUAGCACCAAAAUAUUCAGUUAGCAAGUCUAUACCAAGCCUUGCAUCAAAUCUGUCCAAAAGUCAGGGUUUUCAAGAGCAGGGCAGGUUCCGUAUUUUGAUCACAAAUCACCCAACUUAACUUAGCAUUGGGCAUGGUUUAUGGCGUUGGAAAACAAAUUCAUAGAUCUAUAAUUUCACAGAAGAAAUCAUUUUGAAAUUCGGCACACAACUAGCUCGAAUUCGAGCCACAAGUUGCAGCCUCAGCAUUUCGUUCCAGUAAAACAGAGAAACAGAACAGCCGACUUUAAAUGGUUGGUUUGGCUCAUAUACAUGGAACCAGAAUGUGCAUUUUAUACCGUCGGAAAGGUUGGAAUUUCUAAUUUCAAAUUCCACUACGGCACUCGAUUUCGACGUCGGAGCACAAAAUUAUGGCCGAAACACGAAAGCUGGUCAGAGCAUUACGGGAACAGUUCCAGAUUUACUAACUUUGUGAAAUCAAUUCAUUUGACCCACCAAACCUCAAUAUUUUUCAAUGAAAUUUUAUACACCAUCUAUACAACAUAUAAACAUCAUAUAUAAGUCAUUACAACCCCAAAAUUCCGCAGAAAUAGAUACGUUCAAAGCAGGGGCAGAAUUGGAACUUUUCCUCUCAUGCAUUUCUUGAAGUUCGUACUACUAAUACACCAUUAAUCUACCAUUUUGAGCACUAAACCAACAUUAAAUUCAUCAUCAAUCAUCACAUCAGCCAUCAAGACAAAGGGUGGGAGUUCAUAGAGCCCACCUUCCAAAUUUCCAACAAUAACAACCACCCAUAUGAAUAUCCAAGCUUAAAGGUGUUAAACAACCUCUAUAAACCAAGUUUAGAGUGUUGGAUCAUUACCUACUUUGGUUUGAUGUUCAAGCAGAAUUCGGCCCCCCCUUUACUCCAGCAAAACCGUGAUUUUCAGCUCCCCUUUGAAGCUCAAAUGAUCCUUAAGUGUUAAGCCACGUGUGGUUUAAGUUGGGUGUGAAUUGGAUGAAGAUUUGUGUAAGAUUUGGAGAUGGAAUUUGCAAAACUUGGAGUUGUUUUGUUGCAGCUGAUGUUUCGGCCAAAUG
rnacentral:lncRNA from 1 species